GACGAACGCUGGCGGCGUGCUUAACACAUGCAAGUCGAACGGGCCCGCCCCUGUUUUUGGGGGUGGGUUGAGUGGCGAACGGGUGAGUAUCACGUGAGUAACCUGCCCCCUGCUCCUGGAUAACUGCUUGAAAGGGCGGCUAAUACGGGGUGUGCCGGCUGGUCCGCAUGGGCCUGGUCGGGAUAGUUUCAUCUUCGGGUGUUUCGGUGGGGGAUGGGCUCGCGGCCUAUCAGCUUGUUGGUGGGGUGAUGGCCCACCAAGGCGGUGACGGGUAGCCGGCCUGAGAGGGUGGGCGGCCCCGCUGGGACGGAGACACGGCCCAGACUCCUGCGGGAGGCAGCAGUGGGGGGUAUUGCACAAUGGGCGGAAGCCUGAUGCAGCGACGUCGCGUGAGGGAUGGAGGCCUUCGGGUUGUGAACCUCUUUCUCCGGUGGUGAAGGCCCUGUCCGUUGCGGCGGGGUUGACGGUAGCCGGGUAUGAAGCGCCGGCUAACUACGUG
rnacentral:rRNA from 1 species